UUAACAAAAACAUGUCCUUUUGAUUAUUAUUUAAGGUCUGGUCUGCCCUAUGAUUAUAGUUUAAAUGGCCGCGAUAUUUUGAUCGUGCGAAGGUAGCAUAAUCAUUAGUUUUUUAAUUGAGAGCUGGUAUGAAUGAUUGGACAAGAAACUUUCUGUCUCAUAUUUAUUUUUUGAAUUUUAUUUUUUAGUUAAAAAGCUUAGAUUUUUUUGUAAGACGAGAAGACCCUAUAGAGUUUAAUAUUUUUAUUUACAUUUAGAUUAUAGAAUUAGAAUUUUUUUGUUUUAUAAAGUAUUUGGUUGGGGUGACAUAAAAAUUUAUUAAACUUUUUAUUAAUUGAAAUAUAGAUUUAUAGAUUAUUGACUUAUAAAAAUAGUUAAAAGAUUAAAUUACCUUAGGGAUAACAGCGUAAUUUUUCUAAAGAGUUCAUAUCGAAAGAAAAGAUUGCGACCUCGAUGUUGGAUUAAAGUUUAAAUUUGGUGCAGAAGCUGAAUGGUUUAGUCUGUUCGACUAUUAAAACUUUACAUGAUCUGAGUU
rnacentral:rRNA from 1 species